rnacentral:lncRNA from 1 species
UGUUUCAAGAUCAUGAAAGGAGAGUGGGAGGGAUGGAGGGAGGGAAGGAAGCCUGGGAGUCUCCGUCACCCCCACAGUCCCUCCUCCCACCCUCACCCCACUCCUCUGCCCCAGUCCUGGAUUGAGCCAGCACUACUCCUGGGUGCUGCUACCUCUGCGCCAGGCUGCUGGGCACCCUCUCCCCCUCCUCCUCCACCCUCCAACCUUUCCUUUCCCUUUCUUCUUUAGGGGCUGUCAUCUUGCCACUGUGACCAGGCUUCUGGGCCCUGUGAGGACAUAGUGGAGUCUUCUGCUUCCAAGAGGAGGCCAUCUUUAGGGGAUGGGUUAUGUGGGAAUCUGGGAAGGCCAGGGGUGGCCUUGACUAAUGUCCAAGAGAGAUGCCUUCUCAUCCCCCCUUCCUCCCUGUCCUCUGCCCUCCCACUCCCUCAGGCUGUCGUGAACUCUUGGUGGGCUCAGAGCCACAGAGUAGCUGUCUUAGCCCGUUGCUGCCUCAGUUUCCCCACUGGCCCACCAGGAUGGCAUUGGAUUUUCUGUCUGUCUCUUCCUUUACGACUGUCCCUGUUUUCUUCCUGGUCCUUAAUUUUUUUUAGUCCAUCAAACAAGAUUCUAGAAUCUCUUCCUUUGUCUCUCCUUAGGUCUGUCAUUUUUCCUAUGUCUCUCCUUAGGUCUGUCAGAUUAUUUUUAUUGUCUUUUUUAAAUGGUGAAAGCCUUUUACCUAGAAUUUAGAAAAGAGGAGGAAAAGCCAGGUAUGGUAGUGCACACCUGUAAUCCCAUCAACCGUGGGGGCUGGGGCAGGAGGAUCGCAAGUUGGAGGCCAGCCUCAGCAUCUUCGUGAAACAUAGUCUCAAAAUAAAAUAAAAAGGGCUGCAUAUGUAGCUAAGUGGCAGAGCAUCCCUGGGUUCAAUCCUUGCAGGUAGGGUGGGCUGGGGAAGAAAACAGAAGGGGAAGAAAGCACUCAGGAGUAUUUUCCUCAGUCUCUCUAUUUCUGCUCCAUUCCUUACUCCUUUCUGGGUUUGGAGAGCUCCAUGUUGUGUUCCCACCUAGACACGCAGGUGGAAAUGCAAGGGAGGAAAAGGAAAGAGUCUUUGGUGUCAACCUCUCUCCCCAGGCAUGAAGGUACAAGGCUGCUCUGAGUCUCUGUUUCCCACCUGCCCCUCUCUAGGGUCCCCCCCAUGAUCUUUUACAGUCAGGUCAGCUGAGGUUGGUCCCAGCGAGGCCACGAGUCACCUGAGCAAGCUUGGACAAGAGGCUGCUCCACUCUGGCUUUGGUGUCUUUGUCUGAGUGACAAGGAGCAGCACUGGGACACCUUGAAGGUCCUCUUCCAGCACUGAUGAUGCCGCGAUCCUGUUCUCGGCUGCCGUCUCCUCAGCUCAGGGAGGCAGCAAAGUUACCUGCGUGAGAACCGCUACCUGGAGACCUGCUGGGAAGGAGACCAGGGCGCAGUGCUCUUGCCCUGUUUACCUGCAUGUGGCCCACGGAAACGAGCCUUGUCCCUUUAACUCUUGGCAUAGAAUCCAAGAAGGACUUAGGACUUGAGCUAACACUGCCUUGGUCUCUUACAGGGAGAUGCCAUGACGGGGGGGGGGGG